rnacentral:tRNA from 1 species
GUAGCUCAGCUGGUUAGAGCACAGCAUUCAUAAUGCUGGGGUCGGUGGUUCAAGUCCACCC